rnacentral:rRNA from 1 species
GAUGAACGCUGGCGGCGUGCCUAAUACAUGCAAGUCGAGCGGCAGCAUGGUCUUCGGACUGAUGGCGAGCGGCGGACGGCAGAGUAACGCGUAGGAACGUACCCCAAAGUGAGGGAUAAGCACCGGAAACGGUGUCUAAUACCGCAUGUGAUCUUCGGAUUAAAGCCUUCGGGCGCUAUGGGAGCGGCCUGCGUAUGAUUAGUUAGUUGGUGAGGUAAUGGCUUACCAAGACGACGAUCAUUAGCUGGUCUGAGAGGAUGAUCAGCCUGACUGGAACUGAGACACGGUCCAGACUCCUACGGGAGGCAGCAGUAGGGAAUUUCCGCAAUGGGCGAAAGCCUGACGGAGCAACGCCGCGUGCAGGAGGAAGGCCCUCGGGGUCGUAAACUGCUUUUCUCUGUGACGAUUAUGACGGUAGCAGAGGAAUAAGGGACUGCUAACUACGU